rnacentral:rRNA from 2 species
GAACCUUGUAGAGAUACGAGGGUGCCUUCGGGAACUGUGAGACAGGUGCUGCAUGGCUGUCGUCAGCUCGUGUUGUGAAAUGUUGGGUUAAGUCCCGCAACGAGCGCAACCCUUAUCCUUUGUUGCCAGCGGUCCGGCCGGGAACUCAAAGGAGACUGCCAGUGAUAAACUGGAGGAAGGUGGGGAUGACGUCAAGUCAUCAUGGCCCUUACGACCAGGGCUACACACGUGCUACAAUGGCGCAUACAAAGAGAAGCGACCUCGCGAGAGCAAGCGGACCUCAUAAAGUGCGUCGUAGUCCGGAUUGGAGUCUGCAACUCGACUCCAUGAAGUCGGAAUCGCUAGUAAUCGUGGAUCAGAAUGCCACGGUGAAUACGUUCCCGGGCCUUGUACACACCGCCCGUCACACCAUGGGAGUGGGUUGCAAAAGAAGUAGGUAGCUUAACCUUCGGGAGGGCGCUUACCACUUUGUGAUUCAUGACUGGGGUGAAGUCGUAACAAGGUAACCGUAGGGGAACCUGCGGUUGGAUCAC